UACGUAGGGUGCGAGCGUUGUCCGGAAUUAUUGGGCGUAAAGGGCUCGUAGGCGGUCUGUUGCGUCAGGAGUGAAAACUCGGGGCUUAACCCCGAGCCUGCUUCUGAUACGGGCAGACUAGAGGUAUGCAGGGGAGAACGGAAUUCCUGGUGUAGCGGUGAAAUGCGCAGAUAUCAGGAGGAACACCGGUGGCGAAGGCGGCUAUCUGGACAGAGUCUGACGCUGAGGCGCGAAAGCUAGGGGAGCAAACAGG
rnacentral:rRNA from 1 species